rnacentral:rRNA from 1 species
GAUUAACGCUGGCGGCGUGCCUAACACAUGCAAGUCGAGCGGCAGCGAGUUUUACACUGAAUUCUGGAAGCUUCUAGUUGAAAGAGAAGAUUUAUUCAAGAAUUUUGUGUAAAAUGUCGGCGAGCGGCGGACGGCUGAGUAACGCGUGGGAACGUACCCCAAAGUGAGGGAUAACGCAUCGAAAGGUGUGCUAAUACCGCAUAUGGUCUUCGGAUUAAAGCCUUCGGGCGCUUUGGGAACGGCCUGCGUAAGAUUAGAUAGUUGGUGGGGUAAUGGCCUACCAAGUAGACGUUCUUUAACUGGUAUGAGAGGAUGAUCAAUCAGGCUGGAGCUGAGACACAGUCCCGUAUCCUACGGGAGGCAGCAGUGAGGAAUCUUCCACACUGGGCGAAAGCCUGAUGGAGCAACGCCGCGUGCAGGAUGAAGGCCUUCGGGUUGUAAACUGCUUUUAUAAGUGAGGAUUAUGACAGUAACUUAUGAAUAAGGAUCGGCUAACUACGUG